rnacentral:rRNA from 1 species
UACGAAGGGGGCUAGCGUUGCUCGGAAUCACUGGGCGUAAAGGGCGCGUAGGCGGCCAUUCAAGUCGGGGGUGAAAGCCUGUGGCUCAACCACAGAAUUGCCUUCGAUACUGUUUGGCUUGAGACCGGAAGAGGUAAGUGGAACUGCGAGUGUAGAGGUGAAAUUCGUAGAUAUUCGCAAGAACACCAGUGGCGAAGGCGGCUUACUGGUCCGGAACUGACGCUGAGGCGCGAAAGCGUGGGGAGCAAACAGG